CACAGCUUCUCUGGACAGCCUGUUCCUGUGCCUCACCACCCUCAGAGAAGAAUUUCUGCCUAGCGUCUAAUCCAAGCCUACUUUCAGCCUACUACAGCCCCUUGUCCUGUCAAUAUGUGUCCUUGUCAAGAAAUCCCUCUCCGCCUUUCUUCUGGACUCCCUUCAGGUACUGGAAUGCCACAAUUAGGUCACACCAAAGCUUUCUCUUUUCAGGCUGAACAAACCAAAUUCUCUCAGCCUUUUCUUGUAAAAGAAGUUGGUGGCCUACUCCGGACUUGCUCCAUCAGGGUCAUGGCAGACCCCCCUCCCUCCCCUGCUGCCCACAGGGCUCUGGGUGCAGCCCAGGACACCUUUGGCUCUCUGGGCUGCCAGUGCUCAUGGCUGGGUCAUGUCCACAUGUCCACCCUCUCUGUUACACACCAGCACCCCCUAGUCCUUCUCAGCAGGGCUGCUCUCAAUCCCUUCAUCCCUGAGCCUGGACUGAUACCGGGAUUUGCUCUGGCCGAGGUGCAGCAUCUGGCCCUUGCUCUUAUUAAAUGGUGUAUGCAUCUGUUUUAAUAAAUGUGGAUCCACAACACAUCUGGACUCCUUUAAAGGCUGGAUGUUCAGGGUCCCAGUUAAUGAAGCGCUGAUCAUGACUCAUCACCUCCUCAUCCCUCUCCUGAGGCAAGGAAGUGGUUUACCCCAAUUUUGCAGCUCAAACUUCAGGUCCUAAACAAUUUAAAGACUUCACCAACAAGCUGGAUUCUUGCCUAACAGCCACACAGAUGCUGUGACUGGGUAACAGUUCUGAGACACUCUUCUCGUAACCACCUUCUACUUGAUGCUGUGCAUAGCAAGGACAAGGAGACCUCUCCACUUUCUUAUUGUUAAAGGACAAGAGGAGGCAAAGUCAGGUGCUACAGGAAAACAACCCAUCAUGAAGGGCAUAAUGAGACAAUAUCAACCAUCACAACAAGCCACAAGCAUCCACAGCAACUGCCAUUUGUCACGAUCAUUUUUGGGGCAAAUAUUAUGACAAAGAAGCUUUUUAAAGAUUUUUAAAUUGCCUGAGGCCGCUUGAGAAUACAUUCAAGUACAAGGUGAAGAAAAGGAGAGGGAAGAACAGUUCCUUCUCAGAGCACUGGAAGAUAAGAACUUUAAUGUGGUGGAGGAAAGGGAGCUAAGAAAUAAACAUGAAGAAAAGAGACAACACAGGCAAAGCUGCAGUCUGAAUGGGAAUAAGCACUGUUGUCUUUACUGGCAAAAGUAAAAGGAAACUUAGACAAAAAUGCCAGUUAUAUAAUGGAUCCGAUACAACCACUAAAUGAUGGAUAUGUGAAUAGGAGAGGACCUGCACAAAGCAUCAGCACAUUCAGAUCCAGUGUGGAUGCAAGAAUCUAUUUUUGAAGCCAGGGUGACAAGGGAGGAUGGGUGCAUCGAAAAAAAAAAAAAAACCACACAAAAAACCUGAACUGCAAUGCAAUUUGGUUAGAAAUAGUCUGCUUCAGCACAGAAGGAUAAAAGCCUUAAAUUAUUAGUAGGAAGGAAAGCACUUGAAUGUGUUCAGUAGUGCAAGACUACUGCAAAAUAAACUAUGAGAGAAGAAAAAGAGGAAAGCAAGAGUGGAGGUGGUAAUUGUAACAUAUAAUGUAUGUGGCAAAAAUAACAAGGAUAUGAGAAGAUAAAAGUGACAUAUAGCUGUAUAAUAUAUAGCUGGUAUUGUACAGCCUCCAGUCCUGUUCUAACUGUGCUUCCACAAUUCAGGACCUGUAAAGCUUCCACUGCCUACCUAAUGCAACUUGUACAUCCCUUCUGCUCUUACUUUUGGAAGAGGAUGCAAUUUUUUGCGAAUACCUGUGAAAACUGCCUCUGUAUGCAGUUAUGACUCUCUCCAUAAUUGCUGUCAAAUCAUGUUAACUACUUACUCCAGAAGAAAUUGAAAAUGACCUGGUGCUUGCUGGGGCAGAGACAAACAAACAUGGAGUCAUAACAUACCAUAGUCAUAGUCUCAUCACAGUUCUGCUUACAGCCUGAGACAUCACCAGUCCCCAGAUGCACACAGGAAAGGAAGAGACCCAGGAUCUGUUCCUCCCUCUGCCCACAAAGCAGCCUCAUACCUGAUCAAUACAGACACAUUUCAGUACCAGGAGACAAGGACACGGUAUUUCUCUGGACGCAUCAGUCAUUCUUGAGCCAUUUGCAUCAGUCACAGGCAGCAGAAGAUGGAAUGCUCCCCAUCUGCUGUACCAACAAGCACCAAUGUCCCAAUCAAGCACUGCCUGUGCAGCUUGUGCUGCAGCACUGGGCUGGGGUAACCACUCCUGUUCUUGGGGCAACUACACUCACUCCCCUGAGAAAAGCUCCUAAAAACAUAACAUAGUGGGAGAGAUAUGGCACACUGGGAACAGAGAAUAGGAAGUUCCUGCAGGAUCACAGGAAGAGGUCACAUAGCACAGAUGUUUUCCAGUUCAAGCAAUCAAGAGACCAGGAUAGCAAAGCAGGAAAAAGACAGACAAGCCCUGAAAAGGCUCACCUAUCAGCGGAUCAUACCUCCCCUUCAAAUUUCAGCAUUUCCAGAAUCCAUUUCAGCAAGGCUUUUAAUUUUUCUUCAUUGUGCCAACAGCUUCAACUACAGAAAAGUUCUGGCUUAGGGAAGGCACAUUCAUAUUGAAACCAUGGCAUUCUCUCUCAUGUCAGGUACGCCCUCAUUUGCUGCCUCUGCAAAAGGCUGCUCAGGGCAUGGGAACUGGCACUACUCAUGUGAAGACAGGGGGGCCAGGGCCCAGAAGCCCGACAGAGGACAGACCUACCUCCAGCAGGGGCCAGAAGAGAGAGCACAAGUGUCACAGGCACCCAGAACUUCACCAGUCCCUGCCCUUAGGCACCCACCUUCUCAGCAGAAGAGAGCUCAGUAAGGGAAAGGAGAUAGAAAAAAUAAAACAUGGUUGAAGGGAAAGAAGGAAGAAUCUGGACAAUUCAAUUAUGCAAGCAGUCUGCAUAUGGAAAUUUGAGUAUCUAAUAACAAUCAGUGGGCAUGGGGAUUUCACCCAUUAUCAGAAUUAAUUCUUGUGCACCUUCCUAGAGAACAUGAAGCACUGUAACUAAUUCAUGUCAGAUGGGAUUCUAAAGUGUUCCCUGAACAAGAGAUUUUGGUAAAAAGCCAACAUCUAACAACAAAAACAAAAAAAUAUUCCACAGGUUCAGUAGCAGCUAUCAGUGCCUGGAUGACCCUUUCAUCCAUGAUUUUUGCUGCUCUUGUUAAUACAGAAGGAUGUGAAACUCACCCAAAACAGUAACUGGUGGUGUUACCUAAAUUCCAUUGAACUUGCCAUGCUAAAAAAAAAGCAUCUAUUUAAAAGGUAAGACUUCUGGUUGUACCUUUUAUUAUACCUUAUAAAGGUAUACAAAGCAGUGCAGUACUAUGAUGUCUACAAACACCCAUGGAUUGAUUUUAGUGAACUUUUCCCUUAAUCCAAAACUCCUGAAAACGAGGAAUCCUUAAGAUCUUGCACCACCCCUUCAUUCUUUCUGAACUACACUUAGAUAUACAUAUGUCUGAUAUACAUAUUUCUGUUUGCAGGACAGUACUGCAGUCAUGCAAAAUGAGAUUUUUUUUCAGUUUAUUCUUGUAAUUUACUAUCUUUACCUUUUAAGCCAGACUACUCUUCUAAUACACUAAAAGCUGCCCUUGGUAGGAAAAAAAAAGUGUCACCCAAAAGGGUUUAAUUCACUUUUCAGGCAAACUAAAACCUUAGUCUGCACUGAAAAUGACAGCCAGAAAAAACAAAAUCACAUCACCGCAGCUUCUUGUUUUCUCCUUCCUUUUUAAACAGGCAACCAACUUAUUUUCCCACUGAAACAGUUACAUGAACAGUUACACUAUCAAAUCUGAAAGCUCCUCAAAAUUUCCAAGUCAAUGAAAGCCAGAUUCUAGAGGGAGACAACAUGGGUAAAAAAAGUAUCAAUACACAUGAUAUUUUAAUACAAAAUAUUAGCUUUUCUUUUUUUUUUUACACAAGUCAGUUUUUUUAAAAUAUAGAACCUUAAAAAAUGAACAAAUUGCUAUCCACACACUAUAAACACUUGUUUGUGCUCAGUUUGAUCAAGUUAUCAGAACAAUUUAAAACACCAGUCCAUAGUUUAAACACUGCCUUGAAGUUGGAUGCAAACUAUGCCGCACUGCGCGCUACCAUUAUUGUAUGUACAGGGUGAAGCGCCUUCGGUCGGGUUUAAUACGGUAAUAAAAAACUGUUCAGUUAUCAGGUUCUUUGUGCAAGGAUUUCACAUUCUACUCAUGCUCAUGACAGGUCUCUAUUACAUUUCAGUGGCACUGGUCUGAGCAAGCACAGGAAUUCUGUGAAUGUUCACCGGAAGAAUGUCCGUUACGUGUUCUGGAAGUACGAGUUCUUCAGCUGAAUAAAAGAAAACUUGUUAGUUUAGGGGAAAUAGCUAGCCUGAUUAGCCAGAAUUUAACAAUUUCUAAGCACUGAAAGGCAUUUUGAUUUCUCAAAGUUGAAUAAAAGUAAUUAACUAUCACAUUUUUAUAAAGAUCACCUAUGUAGCAGGUACAUCUCAGGAAUAUUUGUAAAUGCCCGUUUUUUGAACGCAUAGAAAGGAAAAAAAUUUCUCAAAGUUGGAGGUCAUAAAAGGUCUUGUUUUAGUAGUAAAUCAUCCACAAGUUGCAGGUUGUUAGCCAAGUAGAUUUAGGAUGAUUUACUUGCAUUACAGUAAUUUACACAAUUGAGCUUUAGGCAUACAGUACAAAACUAUGAACAAAAGGUGAAGCAAACUUUUUUAUUUAUAUUCAGGUAAAAACAUUAACCUGAUGAAGUAAAUUAUUGCAGAUUUGAGAAAUCAGCACAUAAAACAGUUGGACAGAGCAUUGCUUACAGGUGCUUUAUCUGUGUCAAAAGACAAAGGCUGAACUGCUUGUUCCAAGCUAGCACUGGGGGAGAAAGAAGGAAAAAAAAAAAAAAAAGAAAAAACUACAAAAUUGCCAGGAACUUAGAUCAA